rnacentral:rRNA from 1 species
GAUGAACGCUGGCGGCGUGCCUAAUACAUGCAAGUCGAGCGAACGGACGAUAAGCUUGCUUCUCUGUUGUUAGCGGCGGACGUGUGAGUAACACGUGUAUAACCUACCUAUAAUACUGGGAUAACUUCGGGAAACCGGAGCUAAUACCGGAUAAUAUUUUGAACCGCAUGGUUCAAAAGUGAAAGACGGUCUUGCUGUCACUUAUAGAUGGAUCCGCGCUGCAUUAGCUAGUUGGUAAGGUAACGGCUUACCAAGGCAACGAUGCAUAGCCGACCUGAGAGGGUGAUCGGCCACACUGGAACUGAGACACGGUCCAGACUCCUACGGGAGGCAGCAGUAGGGAAUCUUCCGCAAUGGGCGAAAGCCUGACGGAGCAACGGCGCGUGAGUGAUGAAGGUCUUCGGAUCGUAAAACUCUGUUAUUAGGGAAGAACAUAUGUGUAAGGAACUGUGCACAUCUUGACGGUAACUAAUCAGAAAGCAACGGCUAACUACGUG